rnacentral:lncRNA from 1 species
ACCACAAAGAAAAGUAAGGCACAAUACAAUCACAGUCCAAACUAUCACAAUUCAACUAAUACAACAAUACUCUAUCACAAAGAAAAGUAAGGUACAAUACAACCACAGUUCAAACUAUCACAAUUUAACUAAUACAACAAUACUCUACCGCAAAAAAAAAAAGGUACAAUACAAUCACAGUCCAAACUAUCACAAUUCAACUAAUACAACAAUGCUCUAAUAUAACUAUAGUCCAAUUAACACAACACUGAUUUGUUCUUGCUUU